AAGCCUUAUAACUCUAUGUGAAAACCCUCACAGAAAGGGAGAAUUCCUUAUAGCUUUCUCUAUGUGAAAACCCUCCUGGGCUCAAGUGAUCCUCCUGUCUCGGCCUUCCAAAGUGCUGGAAUUAUAGGCAUGAGUCACUCUGCCUGGCCAUUGCAGAGGUCUUUACGCUUUCUUACAAUUUCUGUCUUCACACACCUUGAGCUUCAUUUUCAUUUUGCCACUGUAGAAAUAUAUAUUCCAUUUAUUUCAUUCCUAUGCUCUUGACAGGGAAGAUAGAAACAAUCUAGAUGCAGAAUUCCACCUGCUGUAUUAUUUAGCAACAUUAUACCAACAAGGAGAAGCAACAGACAAGCUCUUCCUUUUGUGAUCUUUCUCUGAAAUUCCUCACCUUUACUGAAUAAACCUCAAUUGAUUUGCGAGUUUUGGCUGUAACGGCACUAUUACUGUAAGGUCUAUGCCAUACUAUUAUAUUGAUAUUAGAUUAGUUUCUCCUGUUACAUUAAUGCCUUUUCAUCUCCUGUUUUUUUUUCUUGCAUCUCAUUCUUUUCUUCUUUCUAACAUACAUCUUUUAACAGUUGUUUCCAUAGGGAUCCUGGGUAGUAAACUCUCAUUUGUAUUAAUCUGAAAGUAAAAGUCUUUCUUCUAUCUUUACUGAAGAAUGAUGAGAGUUCAGCUUGGUACAGAAUUCUGAGUUGCCAAUGUUUUUCACUAAACUUUGAAGAUUUUACGCUACCAUAUUCUCACUACUGUUGUGGCAACUGAAAAGUCUGAUGUUGGCCUAAUUGUUAAUCCUUUACACGUAAUGUAUUUUUUCUCCCCAGCAGGUUGUUUUCUUUUUUAGAGACAGGGUCUCGCUCUAUUGCCCAAGCUGGAGUGCAGUGGCACAAUCAUAGCUCACUACUGCCCUGAAGCCCUUAGCUAAGGUCAAGGGAUACUCUCGCCUUCGACUUCUGAGUAGCCAGGACUACAUGUACACACCACACCUGACGUGAAAAGUGAAGUGUAAGGAAGUUGAAUACGUUCCCAGGAUCACGCGACUCAUAGUGAGACCUCUUCAGAACAUGAUGGAUCAAAUGCAGGAUGAGUGCAGAUAUAACAAAAAAGGUUUUAGAAACCUCCUAGUACUAUUUAAAAUUCAAAAUCUGCUGCUGUUGUGCUAAUUUUUCACUGUUAUCUUUUUCAUUCUCAAAAGUUUGCAUAAAAUUCUUAUCUUAAAAAGCCACUUUUAAUGUUAUACAUAACAUGGUUUUGUAAAAUCCUAUAAUUUGAUGUUAUGUGUAUUGAUUAAUUUCUCUCUUAACAUUGAAAGUAUUUUCUUUCUAACACCUUCUUUACAUUCCUGUUUUCUAAGAAUUUUAAAAAUAGUUUUUUACCCUAAAUGGAAGCCAUGUAAACAGAAAUUACAUCUCCUUUUAAAUUAUGUCUACCACCUAACAAGGAACUAAAAAAGAUACUAAUUAUUGGAAGUAUACAUUUGACAAGUCAGUAAUUUCGGUGUCACUGAUGAAACAAAAAGUUAUCUUUUCAUUUUCAAAAACUUGAAUGUAUCUAAAGUAUUGUAAUUGUAAUAAUCUUAGGUAUAAGGGAUAAAGCUUUUGAGAACAAUUUCCCAUGAAGAAAUAAAUUUCACAUUAAUUAAAAUUAGACCUUUGAGGAACACCAAAAAUAAAUUUCCAAUUUAGCCUUCUGUUUCAAAAAAGAUUAAGUAUUUUUCUCAUAUGCAUAAAAUCUCUUUUUAGAGAUAUAGUUAUUCAUUCAUUCAACAAAUAUUUCUGUAUGCUUAUUGUAUACAAAGUACCUGAGGAUACUAAAAACAUCAGUGGAAGAUAAUUUUAAACGGUGGCUAUAUUCAUCCUGCAAAAUAGUAUGUACCCAAGAGUUAGCACACACUGUAACAACGUGGAGUCUUUUAUGAUAUCCCUUCACCAAUAAAAACAACCCAUUAACACUAUUCCAUUCCCUAACACACUGAUUGUAACAAAAACACAUUUGUUGUAUGAAUGAAUAUUUUGGGGGAUGUUCAAAGUGUUACCAUUUUCUCAGCUAAAGAACUAUGACUAAGAUUAUUCAAAUUUCCAGCUACCUCCAAUCACGUGGUCAAAAAUAAAUAUAAAAAUCUGUUUCGUCAUCAUCUGCAUUAUUAAGUAAGCUUCAAAUAAUGCUAUAUUGACCUUAAAGACUAAGAAAGAAAAGAAAAUAUUUUAAAUGAAAAGCAGGGUUUAGGCCGGGUGCAGUGGCUCACGCCUGUAAUCAUUGCACUUUGGAAGGCCGAGGCGGGUGGAUCACAAGGUCAGGAGAUCAAGACCAUCCUGGCCAACAUAGUGAAACCCAUCUCUACUAAAAAUACAAAAAUCAGCUGGGCAUGGUGGCGCAUGCCUGUAAUCCCAGCUACUCAGGAGGCUGAGGCAGGAGAAUCGCUUGAACCAGGGAGUCAGAGGUUGCAGUGAGCCGAGAUCUCGCCACUGCACUCCAGCCUGGCGACAGAGAAAGACUCUGUCUCAAAAAAAUAAAGAAAAAGAAAAAAAGAAAAGAAAAGCAGAGUUUAGAAGCACAAAUUUUCCUUAAAGACUGAGAAGGGAAGACAUUAUAAAGGGGAAGCAAAUAUAAUACAAAGCUUAGGAGCACAAGGCUUUGCAGACAUUCACCUAUCAGAACUAAGCUAGCUAUGUGUCCCUGAAUAAUUACUUUCCUAAUCAGUUUCCUAAUUAGUAAUAAGGAGAAAUUAUACGAAUGCCACUGUACUGUUUAUGGAUUCAGUAAAAUAAAGCGUGAAAUGUGCUUAGCCUGUUGUCUGACUCAAUGCAGAAAUUACUAAUAGUAGCUAUUUUAAAAAGGAAGUUAUUGAUCAACCUUCCCUCUAGCCAAUAUAUGGUUUCCAUAAACCAAAUUAGACCCUUUCCACCAAAAUAUUUCCCUUUUUAAUAUAUACUAUAAAGUGGACCAUAAAUAGCAAAUCUACAAAAGUAGCCCA
rnacentral:lncRNA from 1 species